UUUUCCUUAUUUCUCUGCUGGUCUGCAAAUGAGCUAUAAUGAAAUUAUGACAGAGAGAGUGGGAGCUGCGCCAUGGUCAAUGGAAACCAGAAAAGAAAGAAGCAAGCAGAGUGACUCUAUCCAGUUCAGGUAUUAUCAAAUGAAGAAGAAGGUAACCCGAACUUGUUCUAAUUAUGAGUUUGUUUGGUUUCUUCACUAUUAGGAUAUGAAUUUUUCACUAAUUCCUUGCUCAUCGGUUUACAAAGUAUUGUUCUUUACGACUUUAUCAUUCUCCAAUUUGUCCUCACCAAAAUAAGGUGUUUACACUCUCACAAAUGUGAAAACAGGCAGCUUUCAGAUAUGGUUAAUUAUUCUCAUAAAAGUUUUUUAUUCUUUUUUAUUAGGCUCUUCUUAAAUGGUUUGCUUGGUCAGUCAAUGCCAUCUAACUUGGAGCUUGCUGGAUCAGUCAAUGCCAAAGUCAAUGGAAUCACAGUUGGGAAUACGAAGCUUCACAUUGAACAAGAAUAUAUUCUCCUUUAUCUUCACCAAGCUUUUAAUAUAUUGGUUUCUUUGCAUCAGUGAACUUCACCAAUUACAAAGUAAGAGAAAAGUUUUGUCUUGCAUAUUGAUCUGCUCGCAUUGCCUUCUAGUUUAGAUUGGAGCUUAUGCAAGUUUCCUUUUUGGAUCUGAAAGUUUUGUGAUUUGGCGAUAUCCAAAGAAGCUGUGGGAGGGGAGGGGCUUGCUUUAUUAUAUAGUCUGAUCACUAAUACAAAGACAAUUGUCACGGGAGCAGGAGAUGAAACACCUAGGUUUUGGAAUGUGUUUCCUUCCCUUAAAUCUCAGGUACAUCUACCAAUUACUCAGUGGCUCAAAGUGCUACUCAAAGAUUGAUAGAAGCUAAGUAUUGACCAAAACAAUUUUACAAGAUUUUGCUUCUUCUAUACAUGGAAGUUAGCCUUGGACA